rnacentral:rRNA from 1 species
UUCCAGACUCCUACGGGAGGCAGCAGUGGGGAAUAUUGCACAAUGGGGGGAACCCUGAUGCAGCGACGCCGCGUGGGUGACGAAGUAUUUCGGUAUGUAAAGCCCUAUCAGCAGGGAAGAAGAUGACAGUACCUGACUAAGAAGCCCCGGCUAACUACGUGCCAGCAGCCGCGGUAAUACGUAGGGGGCAAGCGUUAUCCGGAUUUACUGGGUGUAAAGGGAGCGUAGGUGGCAUGGCAAGCCAGGGGUGAAAGCCCGGGGCCCAACCCCAGGACUGCCCUUGGAACUGCUUGGCUGGAGUGCGGGAGGGGCAGGCGGAAUUCCUGGUGUAGCGGUGAAAUGCGUAGAUAUCAGGAGGAACACCGGCGGCGAAGGCGGCCUGCUGGACCGCGACUGACGUUGAGGCUCGAAAGCGUGGGGAGCGAACAGGAUUAGAUACCCCCGUAAC